GGGAGCUUGCUCCCAAAGAUUAGCGGCGGACGGGUGAGUAACACGUGGGUAACCUGCCUGUAAGAUUGGGAUAACUCCGGGAAACCGGAGCUAAUACCGGAUAACAUUUCGAACCGCAUGGUUCGAAAUUGAAAGAUGGUUUCGGCUAUCACUUACAGAUGGACCCGCGGCGCAUUAGCUAGUUGGUGAGGUAACGGCUCACCAAGGCAACGAUGCGUAGCCGACCUGAGAGGGUGAUCGGCCACACUGGGACUGAGACCCGGCCCAGACUCCUACGGGAGGCAGCAGUAGGGAAUCUUCCGCAAUGGACGAAAGUCUGACGGAGCAACGCCGCGUGAACGAUGAAGGCCUUCGGGUCGUAAAGUUCUGUUGUUAGGGAAGAACAAGUACCAGAGUAACUGCUGGUACCUUGACGGUACCUAACCAGAAAGCCACGGCUAACUACGUGCCAGCAGCCGCGGUAAUACGUAGGUGGCAAGCGUUGUCCGGAAUUAUUGGGCGUAAAGCGCGCGCAGGCGGUUUCUUAAGUCUGAUGUGAAAGCCCACGGCUCAACCGUGGAGGGUCAUUGGAAACUGGGGAACUUGAGUGCAGAAGAGGAGAGUGGAAUUCCACGUGUAGCGGUGAAAUGCGUAGAGAUGUGGAGGAACACCAGUGGCGAANGCGACUCUCUGGUCUGUAAC
rnacentral:rRNA from 2 species